rnacentral:lncRNA from 1 species
UCGUUAUAAUUUUUUAUCAUUUUAUUGAGUAAAACUUCAUAUUACUCCCUAAAUAGGUGGAAUAACCAUUGUAGAAUCGCCAUUUUCUUGAAAAACGGUGACAACAACGGCUCCAAACCUCUUUAAACAUCAUCAUGUGUUAGUCAAGGAUGCAACUAUGCAUUAAAACAAUAUUGUCAAAUUUUUUGAAAUUUUCUCGAAAUCUAUGUGUUCCCCUACGAAAAUAUUGAGUUUUUGGUAAAUGCUUUAUACACCAAAGCUUAUAAUCUUUAGCGUUAUUUUAAAAUUGAUAACCAC